UGGGGAAUAUUGCACAAUGGGCGCAAGCCUGAUGCAGCCAUGCCGCGUGUAUGAAGAAGGCCUUCGGGUUGUAAAGUACUUUCAGCGGGGAGGAAGGGAGUAAAGUUAAUACCUUUGCUCAUUGACGUUACCCGCAGAAGAAGCACCGGCUAACUCCGUGCCAGCAGCCGCGGUAAUACGGAGGGUGCAAGCGUUAAUCGGAAUUACUGGGCGUAAAGCGCACGCAGGCGGUUUGUUAAGUCAGAUGUGAAAUCCCCGGGCUCAACCUGGGAACUGCAUCGGAUACUGGCAAGCUUGAGUCUCGUAGAGGGGGGUAGAAUUCCAGGUGUAGCGGUGAAAGGCGUAGAGAUCUGGGGGAAUACCGGUGGCGAAGGCGGCCCCCUGGACGAAGACUGACGCUCAGGUGCGAAAGCGUGGGGAGCAAACAGG
rnacentral:rRNA from 1 species